rnacentral:rRNA from 1 species
GACGAACGCUGGCGGCGUGCUUAACACAUGCAAGUGGAGCGACGAACCAGGGCUUGCCCUGGGGCAGAGCCGCGAACGGGUGAGUAACACGUGGGUUACCUACCCCGAUGACCGGGACAACCCGAGGAAACUCGGGCUAAUACCGGAUGUGGUCCUCGGACUAAAGGAAGCUUCGGCCUCCGCAUCGGGAUGGGCCCGCGGCGCAUUAGCUUGUUGGUGGGGUAACGGCCUACCAAGGCGACGAUGCGUAGCUGGUCUGAGAGGACGAUCAGCCACACUGGGACUGAGACACGGCCCAGACUCCUACGGGAGGCAGCAGUGGGGAAUCUUGCGCAAUGCGCGAAAGCGUGACGCAGCAACGCCGCGUGGGGGAAGAAGGCCUUCGGGUUGUAAACCUCUUUCAGUGGGGACGAAGCUCUGCGGGUUAAUAGCCCGUUGGAGUGACGGUACCUUCAGAAGAAGCCCCGGCUAGCUACGUGCCAGCCGCCGCGGUAAAAC